GAAGAUCUUCGGGGCAGGGUGAAAUUCCCUACCGGCGGUAUAGCCCGCGAACUACUUAGGUGGUUGAUUUGGUGAGAUUCCAAAGCCGACAGUAAAGUCUGGAUGAGAGAAGAUAUUU
rnacentral:ncRNA from 22 species